rnacentral:rRNA from 1 species
CCUACGGGCGGCAGCAGUGGGGAAUAUUGCACAAUGGGCGCAAGCCUGAUGCAGCCAUGCCGCGUGUGUGAAGAAGGCCUUCGGGUUGUAAAGCACUUUCAGCGGGGAGGAAGGCGUUAAGGUUAAUAACCUUGGCGAUUGACGUUACCCGCAGAAGAAGCACCGGCUAACUCCGUGCCAGCAGCCGCGGUAAUACGGAGGGUGCAAGCGUUAAUCGGAAUUACUGGGCGUAAAGCGCACGCAGGCGGUCUGUCAAGUCGGAUGUGAAAUCCCCGGGCUCAACCUGGGAACUGCAUUCGAAACUGGCAGGCUAGAGUCGUGUAGAGGGGGGUAGAAUUCCAGGUGUAGCGGUGAAAUGCGUAGAGAUCUGGAGGAAUACCGGUGGCGAAGGCGGCCCCCUGGACAAAGACUGACGCUCAGGUGCGAAAGCGUGGGGAGCAAACAGGAUUAGAUACCCGGGUAGUC